GACGAACGCUGGCGGCGUGCUUAACACAUGCAAGUCGAACGGAAAGGCCCUGCUUUUGUGGGGUGCUCGAGUGGCGAACGGGUGAGUAACACGUGAGUAACCUGCCCUUGACUUUGGGAUAACUUCAGGAAACUGGGGCUAAUACCGGAUAGGAGCUCCUGCUGCAUGGUGGGGGUUGGAAAGUUUCGGCGGUUGGGGAUGGACUCGCGGCUUAUCAGCUUGUUGGUGGGGUAGUGGCUUACCAAGGCUUUGACGGGUAGCCGGCCUGAGAGGGUGACCGGCCACAUUGGGACUGAGAUACGGCCCAGACUCCUACGGGAGGCAGCAGUGGGGAAUAUUGCACAAUGGGCGGAAGCCUGAUGCAGCAACGCCGCGUGGGGGAUGACGGCCUUCGGGUUAUAAACCGCUUUCGCCUAUGACGAAGCGUGAGUGACGGUAAUGAGUAGAGAAGCACCGGCUAACUACGUG
rnacentral:rRNA from 1 species